UGCAAGUCGAACGAUGAACUGGGAGCUUGCUCCAGGAAUUAGUGGCGAAAUACGNGCUUCAGCCGCAUGGCUAGGAGUUGGAAAGAAUUUCGGUCAAGGAUGGACUCGCGGUCUAUCAGCUAGUUGGUGAGGUAAUGGCUCACCAUGGCGACGACGGGUAGCCGGCCUGAGAGGGUGACCGGCCACACUGGGACUGAGACACGGCCCAGACUCCUACGGGAGGCGGCAUUGGGGAAUAUUGCACAAUGGGCGCAAGCCUGAUGCAGCAACGCCGCGUGAGGGAUGACGGCCUUCGGGUUGUAAACCUCUUUUAGUAGGGAAGAAGCGAAAGUGACGGUACCUGCAGAAAAAGCACCGGCUAACUACGUGCCAGCAGCCGCGGUAAUACGUAGGGUGCAAGCGUUGUCCGGAAUUAUUGGGCGUAAAGAGCUCGUAGGCGGUUUGUCGCGUCUGCUGUGAAAUCUGGGGGCUCAACCCCCAGCCUGCAGUGGGUACGGGCAGACUAGAGUGCGGUAGGGGAGAUUGGAAUUCCUGGUGUAGCGGUGGAAUGCGCAGAUAUCAGGAGGAACACCGAUGGCGAAGGCAGAUCUAUGGGCCGUAACUGACGCUGAGGAGCGAAAGCAUGGGGAGCGAACAGGAUUAGAUACCCUGGUAGUCCAUGCCGUAAACGUUGGGAACUAGAUGUGGGGGCCAUUCCACGGUCUCCGUGUCGCAGCUAACGCAUUAAGUUCCCCGCCUGGGGAGUACGGCCGCAAGGCUAAAACUCAAAGGAAUUGACGGGGGCCCGCACAAGCGGCGGAGCAUGCGGAUUAAUUCGAUGCAACGCGAAGAACCUUUCCAAGGCUUGACAUAUACCGGAAACGUCCAGAGAUGGUCGCCCCGCAAGGUCGGUAUACAGGUGGUGCAUGGUUGUCGUCAGCUCGUGUCGUGAGAUGUUGGGUUAAGUCCCGCAACGAGCGCAACCCUCGUUCUAUGUUGCCAGCACGUAAUGGUGGGAACUCAUAGGAGACUGCCGGGGUCAACUCGGAGGAAGGUGGGGAUGACGUCAAAUCAUCAUGCCCCUUAUGUCUUGGGCUUCCCGCAUGCUACAAUGGCCGGUACAAAGGGCUGCGAUACCGUAAGGUGGAGCGAAUCCCAAAAAGCCGGUCUCAGUUCGGAUUGAGGUCUGCAACUCGACCUCAUGAAGUCGGAGUCGCUAGUAAUCGCAGAUCAGCAACACUGCGGUGAAUACGUUGCCCGGGCCUUGUACACACCGCCCGUCAAGUCAUGAAAGUCGGUAACACCCGAAGCCAGUGGCCUAACCCCUUGUGGG
rnacentral:rRNA from 1 species